AUGGGGAGCAUGGACGGCCACCCGCUCCAGGGCAACCACGGCUACGCCCACGUCCCUGCCGGCAGCAACAACGACGAGGACGACGCGUCGCCGCCGCCCUCGGCCGGUGGGGGGUCCUCGGGUUCGGGGCGCCGGCCGCGCGGCAGGCCCCCGGGGUCCAAGAACAAGCCCAAGCCCCCCGUCGUGGUGACGCGGGAGAGCCCCAACGCGAUGCGCUCCCACGUGUUGGAGAUCGCCAGCGGGGCCGACAUCGUCGAGGCCAUCGCGGCCUUCUCCCGCCGCAGGCAGCGCGGCGUCUCAGUCCUCAGCGGGAGCGGCGCCGUCACCAACGUCACGCUGCGCCAGCCCGCAGGGACCGGGGCGGCCGCCGUCGCCCUAAGGGGGCGGUUCGAGAUACUCUCCCUGUCUGGCGCCUUCCUCCCGGCGCCGGCGCCGCCCGGGGCGACGGGGCUCGCCGUGUACCUCGCGGGCGGGCAGGGGCAGGUGGUCGGGGGCAGCGUGAUGGGGGAGCUGCUCGCGUCGGGCCCCGUCAUGGUGAUCGCGGCCACGUUCGGCAACGCCACGUACGAAAGGCUGCCGCUGGAUCAAGACGCUGAGGAGGGCGCCGUGCUGUCCGGGUCGGAGGGCGCCGCCACGCAGCUGGAGCAGCAGGGCAGCGGAGGCGCCGCCGUGCCCCCACCGAUGUACGCCGUGCCGCAGACGCCGCCCGGCGACAUGUUCGGGCAGUGGGGACAGGCAGCCGUGGCGCGGCCUCCACCGACGUCAUUCUAG
rnacentral:rRNA from 1 species